CCAGACUCCUACGGGAGGCAGCAGUGGGGAAUAUUGCACAAUGGUUGUAACCCUGAUGCAGCGACGCCGCGUGGGUGAAGGAGUAUUUCGGUAUGUAAAGCCCUAUCGGCAGGGAAGAAGCAAGACGGUACCUGACUAAGAAGCACCGGCUAACUUCGUGCCAGCAGCCGCGGUAAUACGGAGGGGGCGAGCGUUAAUCGGAAUUACUGGGCGUAAAGCGCUCGUAGGCGGUAUGUCAAGUCAAGGGUGAAAUCCCCGCGCUCAACGUGGGAACUGCCUUUGAAACUGGCAAACUGGAGUGUGUGGGAGGAUAGUGGAAUUCCAGGUGUAGGAGUGAAAUCCGUAGAUAUCUGGAGGAACAUCAGUGGCGAAGGCGACUAUCUGGCACAUAACUGACGCUGAGGAGCGAAAGCGUGGGUAGCAAACAGGAUUAGAUACCCAAGUA
rnacentral:rRNA from 1 species